GUGUGUUAAAGGAGGGAGACAUGGAGAAAGAAAAGCUUGAUAGGGGCUCUCGAGGACCGGAUUUGCGCAGCCCUGGUCUUCUUUUUCACCUUUUAGACAGUCACAGUGAUAUCCAGGUGACAGGUAGCAUGCUCCACGUCUCCCUCUGGUAAACUCUGCCCCCCCUGUCUCUGAGGCGGCACCAUUUUUCACUGGCCCAAUUACGUAAGCACACGAAUCGUUGAUGUCCUUUCACAUGUUGCGGCGGGCCCUGACCAAUUGUGAAGCUGGGACAAAGUGGACGGCUAAUAGGAAUGUGAGGCUUGCCGCGGUCAGGUGUUUUUUCUGACCAGUGGCAGGUCUUGAUUCAGGUGACAAGGACGCUGCCGUUACAAUAAGUAUCUAUCAGGAUCAAAGACGCUAAAGACACCGUGUCAUUAGAGCGACUCCAAGUCGCCGUCGCCCCCUGGCGAUCAACAUUCCUUCUUGGGUCUGCACUGAGGAGGCGCUGCAUGCUUUUGGAGUUUUUUCCCCCCCUUCUGUAUUUAAACCAACAGUCGAUUCAAGUGUUUGCAUAGUUUCCCGACAACUAUGGACGGCAUUGAGGCUCCUUUGGGCUCUUUCAGGAACCCGAUCAAGUUCAAGGAUCAGGACUUUCAGAGUCUCCUGGAGAAAUGUCUGAAGUCUGGUGAGAUGUUCUCUGAUCAAACCUUUCCGGCAGAGCAGAAGUCCAUUGGCAUGCUGGAAGAGGACGACCCGAAAAAGGCAAUCAAGUGGAAAAGACCUAAGGACAUCAGUGAGAAUGCAGUGUUUGUGGAGGGCACCACAGGCACGACUGACAUCUGCCAAGGUCAGCUAGGUAACUGCUGGCUGUUGGCGGCAUUGUCCUGCCUCACCAUGCACCCAAAACUCUUUGUCAAGGUGGUGCCGCCCAAACAAAGCAUGUCCACGUCUUACGUGGGCAUCUUCCAUUUCAGGUUCUGGCAGUAUGGUGAGUGGGUGGAGGUGGUUGUGGAUGACAGGCUGCCAGUACGAGAGGGCCGUCUGCUCUUCAGCUACUCUCACACCCGCAACGAGUACUGGAGUGCCCUGGUGGAGAAGGCCUAUGCCAAGUUAAUCGGAUCGUACAGCAGUCUGAGGGGUGGCAACAUUUCAGAGGGGAUGGAGGAUUUCACAGGCGGUAUCGCGUACUCAAUGCCUGUCUCCUCUCACACCCCUCGAGUCUUCUGGAGGUUAUUGACAGCUGCCCUUGCCCGAGGCAGCCUGCUCAGUUGCUUUAUUCAGGCCAACACCUACAAGGAGGUUGGAAAAGUAAAUGCAGAAGGGCUUAUAAAAGGUCACGCUUACGCCAUCACAGAAACAGACCAGGUGAGGCAUGACUCAGAUGAGAUUUUGCUUCUAAGGUUGAGGAAUCCGUGGGGCUUUAUUGAAUACCGUGGACCCUGGAGUGACAAAGGCAAAGAGUGGGAUGCCGUUUCCAAAGUGGAGAAAGACAGACUUGAAAUGAAACGUAGAGAAGAUGGAGAGUUCUGGAUGAGUGCCGAUGAUUUUUGUCAGAAGUUUGAUUUUGUGGAGCUGUGCAGUAUCAACCCUGACAGUCUUGUUGAGGGAAACACAGUGAUGCCCCUCAGUUCUGCUGCUUCUUCUAAAUGGACCAUCAAUGAGCAUGAUGGAUUGUGGCUUAAAGGCAGCACUGCUGGCGGAAGCCGAAAAUACAACCGAUCCUUUUGGAAGAACCCUCAGUUUGAGCUAGUUCUCACAGAACAGGACCAGCCGGAUGAGGAAGACGAGGAGGACGAGGAGGACGGCGAAGAGGAGGACGCGGAGGAUGGGCUCAAUGAGAGCAAUAAGAGAGAGAAGCAGCUGGUGAAAGCCAAGAAGUGCACGGUGCUGGUUGAACUUCUACAGAAAGACCGCAGACGAAAGGACAAAGUCCACUUCCUCUACAUGGGCUUUCACAUUUACAAGGUCCCACCUGAGCUCCAUGGGAUGUGUCUGGAGCGCAACUUCUUCAUGAAAAAUCGUCCUGUUGGUCGUUCUGGGAAGUAUAAGGGUCAAAGAGCCGUGUGGAGAAAGAUGCACCUGGACCCGGGUCACUACGUCCUGGUGGCCUCCACCUACCGUCCCAACCAACCUGGAGAGUUCUUUGUCCGCAUUUUCUCCAAGACUGCCAACAGUUUGGGGACUCAGGACUUUACAUGCUCUUCAAGCUUUCUACCAGUGAUGGCUGCUCCGGUUGCCCCAGAUGAUAAAAUACGAGUUUUGAGGGCUUUUGAUGAGGAGGCUGGACCAGACGACAGGCUGAACCCAGAUGAACUGAUGAAGCUCUUUAACUCAGUCCUGGAGAAACAUUACCACCUGCCGCUAGAGACCUGCAGGCAGCUCAUUUUUGGAGAGGAUACCAAAGGACGAGCCAGUCUGAACCGUCAGCAAACAGAAACCAUGCUAACCCAGCUACGCCACUUGCAGGCCAUCUUUUUCCAGUUUGACGAGGACUCGUCUGGAACCAUGAGUCCUUUUGAACUAAGUGAAGCUCUGCAAGCUGUGGGGAUGAAGUGUGACAGUAAAGUAGUCCAGCUGUUAACAGAGCGCUUUGCCUCCGGAGAGCUUCAUCUGCCAUUUCAAGACUUUGUGGCCUGUGUCACCCGUUUACGAAAGCUUUUUGUGCUGUAUGAAUCAGAGAGCAGCCGCGAAGUGAAAGACAGAGGUGUCAAUGCUUGGCUCACUCGAUUCCUGCUGGUAUGACGAGCGUCCCCGCGUGGACCCGCCACAGCGUCAAUGACCGACACAAUGACACCAACUCACACAUGCACUCACAUACAGUUAUGUGAAAAAAUUAGGACACCCUGUGGAAGCCUGUGUGUUUUCUGACAUAUUUGGUCAUACGGAUAUUUAAUAUCAAUUUUAACAAUCUUGAAAGAUUUAAGUAAUAGAACUAAACAAUUAAAACUGAAAAAAAGAUUUUUAUAACUUUCUGUGAAAUGAGUUUUAAAUAAAUGCAAUUUCUGUUGUUGAAUAAAUUAGGACACCCCCACAUUCAAGCCCACAUUACACAAAGGUGUAUCACAUCAGGUGCACAUGAUUAGAACAUCAUUACGUAGUGUUUUGAAGGAGGCUUGCCUUAUUUAUACCCAGUGUUGGGCACGUUACUUUAAAAAAGUAAUUGGUUAGUUACUCACUACUUCUUCCAAAAAGUAACUGAGUUAGUAACUGAAUUACUCUAAAGUAAAAGUAACUAGUUACCAGGGAAAGUAACUAUUUCCGUUACUUUAAACAGAAGUUGUAUGUCAAAGAAUUUGAAAUUUUCUGAGCAGUAUUCGAGUCAGUUGAAUAGAGAAGAACAUACAGGUAGUUGUGUUAAUGAACCUUGUAAUAUUUAUUGCACCUCACCAGCAACAGAUUUAUCCUACACUUGAAGUGCAACAAAAAUAAACAGAUUUGAAUUGCUUACCACAGGUGUCGACAAAAGCUUUGCCCCGGGGCAUAAAUUACACUUUACAUGCACGUUCUUUCCUUUAAUUUCGACCAACUUGAAAUAGUGUUUAUAUCGCCACCUCGUGAAGGACAAGUUUUCCUCUGAAUGCUCUGGCAUCACGUCCCUCUGCAUCUGUUUUGCGUGUGUGUUUUUGCUGCACGCGCUGUUCCGGUUUGUGUGUAAAAACACCGGCUCUGAAGUACGUGCGCUAUUAGGCUCGAGCGUUUACGUCACAGAAUGGGGGAUCACGUGAGAUUUGACAACAACACAGCCAUAUUGGAAGCAGGUCUGGCUCGCAGGACAUUAAACUUUAACUUGCCAGUUCGAUAAAGAGACAAACUCGUUACCAAGGCGAAGAACAGAUAUGUGAUCAAACUUAAGGAUGUGAACAAUGUUGACCCUUACAAGCAAGCCGAAGACAAAUGGAGUAAACAUGUCGACGGGCUUCCACAAUUACGCAAAAUGGACAUUCUGCUGUAUUUAUUGUUCGGUGUAUGUUACUAAACUCUCCAGCGAUUCCGAAAUUACAAAUCACAGUUUUGCUGCGGAUGGGUGCAGGACCUGCACAUUAUGACCGUAUCAAACGGCAACUCCAUUGUUCUUGCAAAGGCAGGCUAUGUGUGUUUACUAUUUUCAUUGCCAUGAACCUGAACGCACCCUAAGUCUUGGAUGACAAAUAAACAGAGCAGAGUAGACUCGCUACGGCUGGUAGUUUCUUCAAUUUAUUCAAAGUAAGUAGCGCUUUUGACCGUCAGUAAUGGUAACAGCGUUGUGACAGCGGAAAAAAUAAUUAGUUAGAUUACCCCGUUACUGAAAAAAUAACGCUGUUACAUAAUAGCGUUAUUCCAAACACUGUUUAUACCUCACAUUUAGUUUAGUGUGCCCCUGACUGUUGAAGUGAGAAAAAACACCAUGGUGAGAUCAAAGGAGCUGUCUGAGGCCCUCAGAAAGAAGAUUGUAGACACUAAUGAGUCUGAUAAGGGAUUUCAAAACAUCUCAAAAGAAUCUAAAAUCAACAAUUGCACAUUCAAAACAACUGCCAACAAGGUCUGGCCAUCCAAGCAAGUUCUCCCCGAGAGCAAACUGCAAGAUGCUAAAAUAAGUAUCCAAAAACCCUAAAAUGUCAUCACCGGACCUACAGCAGGCUCUUGUUACUGUUGAUGCAUGCCACUACAAUCAGAAAGAGACUUCACAAAUUUAACCUGCAUGAGAAGUGUGGAAGGAGGAAACUUUUGCUCUCCAAGAAGAACAUAAAGGCCAGACUGAAGUUUGCCAGAGUGAAUGUAGAUAAAGACCAGGACUUCUGGAAUAAUUUUCUUUGGACAGAUGAAUCUAAAAUUGAAUUAUUUGGACAACACAAAACAGAGGGCAUGUUUAGCAUAAACCCAAUACAGCAUUCCAGGAAAAGAACCUCAUACCAACUGUGAAGCAUGGAGGUGGAAGUGUCAUAGUUGGGGGAUACUUUGCUGCAGCAGGACCUGGCCAGCUCACCAUCAUCAUCCACCAUGAAUUCUAUCAUGUAUCAGAGGGUGCUUGAGGAACAUGUGAGAUCAUCUGUGAAAAAAUUAAAGCUGAAGCAAAACUGGACCCUGCAACAUGACAAUGACCCAAAAUAUACCAGUGUAUCCACCAAGGACUCGUUGAAAAGGAAAAAAUGGAGAGUCCUGGAAUAGCAGAUUCAAAGCCCAGAUCUUAAUCCCAUUGAGAUGCUGUGGGGUGAAUUGAAACGGGCUGUAGAUGCAAGAAACCCCUCAAACAUCUCACAGCUGAAAAUACUAAUCCUUCUAAAAAAAUUAGCAUACUGUGAUAGUUAAUCAUUUUCUGUAAUGUACUGAUAAACAUUAGACUUUCAUAUAUUUCAGAUUCAUUACACACAACCGAAGUAGUUCAAGCCUUUUAUUGUUUUAAUAUUGAUGAUUUUGGCUAAAAAGUCCAGAAAAAACAAAAAUCCCUAUCUCAAAGAAUUUGCAUAUUUAAUCUGACCAAAACAAAAAAAAUGUUUUUUAAGACAAAAAAAGUCAACCAUCAAUUAAUUAUAUCAGCUAUGCGCUCAAUACUUGGUCAAGAAUCCUUUUGCAGAAAUGACUGCUUCAAUGUGGCGUGGAAUGGAGGCAAUCGGCCUAUGCCACUGCUGAGGUGUUUUCGAGGCCCAGGAUGCUUCGAUAGCGGCCUUAAGCUCAUCCACAGUGUUGGAUCUGGUGUCUCUCAACUUCCUCUUCACAAUAUCCCACAGAUUCUCUAUGGGGUUCAGGUCAGGAGAGUUGGCAGGCCAAUUGAGCACAGUAAUGCCACGGUCACUAAACCAUUUACCAGUGGUUUUGGCACUGUUAGCAGGUGCCAGGCCGUGCUGAAUAAUGAAAUCUUUAUCUCCAUAAAGCUUUUCAGCAGUUGGAGGCAUGAAGUGCUCCAAAAUCUCCUGAUGGCUAGCUGCUUUGACCCUGCCCUUGAUAAAACACAGUAGACCAACACCAGCAGCUGACAUGGCACCCCAGACCAUCACUGCCUGUGGGUACUUGACACUGGACUUCAGGCAUUUUGGCAUUUCCUUCUCGCCAGUCUUCCUCCAAACUCUGGCACCUUGAUUUAUGAAUGACAUGCAAAAUUUGCCAUAGCCCAUUUCCUGGUUUCUGCAGGUCCCCCAAGGUCUGGAAUCGGCCCUUCUCCAAAAUCUUUCUCAGGGUGCGGUCACCUCUUCUGGUUGUGCAGCGUUUCCUGCCACACUUUUUCCUUCCUACAGACUUCCCACUGAGGUGCCUUGAUACAGCACUCUGGGAACAGCCUAUUCGCUCAGAAAAUUCUUUCUUGUCUUAGCCUCUUGCUUGAGUGUGUCAAUGAUGGCCUUCUGGACAGCAGUCAGGUCGGCAGUCUUGCCCAUGAUUGCAGUUUUGAGUAAUGAGCCAGGCUGGGAGUGUUUAAAAGCCUGAGCAAUCUUUCACAGUGGUUUUGAGUUAAUUCGUUGAUUCAGAUGAAGUUAGUUAGUAGCUUCUUUAGACCAGGGGUUUUCAACCCAGUCCUCAAGGCACACUGUGGGUCCUGGUUUUUGUUCCAGCCGAUCCAGCAGAGACAGUUGAACCAAUGAGGCUUCUGCUAAAACAAGCCACACCUGACUGCAAUCAACUGAUUGCACUUGUAAAACACCAGAUUGGGGAAAAAGUGUUGUCAUCUUGUUUGGUAAGAAUGAAAUCCUGCACCCACAGUGUGCCUUAGUGGAAUAGG